rnacentral:rRNA from 1 species
CCUACGGGGGUCUACAGUGGGGAAUAUUGCACAAUGGGGGAAACCCUGAUGCAGCGACGCCGCGUGAGCGCUGAAGUAUUUCGGUAUGUAAAGCUCUAUCAGCAGGGAAGAAAAUGACGGUACCUGACUAAGAAGCCCCGGCUAACUCAGUGCCAGCAGCCGCGGUAAUACGUAGGGGGCAAGCGUUCUCCGGAUUUACUGGUCGUAAAGGGAGCGUAGACGGCUGUGCAAGCCAGAUGUGAAAGCCCGGGGCUCAACCCCGGGACUGCAUUUGGAACUGUGUGGCUGGAGUGUCGGAGAGGCAGGCGGAAUUCCUAGUGUAGCGGUGAAAUGCGUAGAUAUUAGGAGGAACACCAGUGGCGAAGGCGGCCUGCUGGACGAUGACUGACGUUGAGGCUCGAAAGCGUGGGGAGCAAACAGGAUUAGAUACCCCAGUAGUC